rnacentral:rRNA from 1 species
GACGAACGCUGGCGGCGUGCCUAAUACAUGCAAGUAGAAUGCUGAAGAGAGGAGCUUGCUCUUCUUGGAUGAGUUGCGAACGGGUGAGUAACGCGUAGGUAACCUGCCUUGUAGCGGGGGAUAACUAUUGGAAACGAUAGCUAAUACCGCAUAACAAUGGAUGACCCAUGUCAUUUAUUUGAAAGGGGCAAAUGCUCCACUACAAGAUGGACCUGCGUUGUAUUAGCUAGUAGGUGAGGUAACGGCUCACCUAGGCGACGAUACAUAGCCGACCUGAGAGGGUGAUCGGCCACACUGGGACUGAGACACGGCCCAGACUCCUACGGGAGGCAGCAGUAGGGAAUCUUCGGCAAUGGGGGCAACCCUGACCGAGCAACGCCGCGUGAGUGAUGAAGGUUUUCGGAUCGUAAAGCUCUGUUGUAAGUCAAGAACGAGUGUGAGAGUGGAAAGUUCACACUGUGACGGUAGCUUACCAGAAAGGGACGGCUAACUACGUG